rnacentral:rRNA from 1 species
CUCCGAAAAGGGCUUAAGUACCUCAUUAUCUUGGUGGCUUGGGAAAUAUGGAAGCAUCAGAACAAUUGCAUUUUCAAUGGCGCUAGGCAAAAUGUUUUCAUGGUGUUGCUGACAGUUGCUAAUGAAUGCACCCUCUGGUGUUCAGCUAGAGCUUUGGCGCUUCGGCAGCUUUUGUGUGGGCUACUUACCUUGGACAAUUAG